GAUGAACGCUAGCGAUAGGCUUAACACAUGCAAGUCGAGGGACCGGCGGAUGGGUGAGUAACGCGUAUGCAACUUGCCUCUUAGUGGGGGAUAACCCGGAGAAAUCCGGACUAAUACCGCAUACUAAGAGAUAGGCAUGCGUUCCAUUAGUUAGUUGGUGAGGUAACGGCUCACCAAGGCAUCGAUGGAUAGGGGAGCUGAGAGGCUGAUCCCCCACAUUGGGACUGAGACACGGCCCAAACUCCUACGGGAGGCAGCAGUGAGGAAUAUUGGUCAAUGGAGGAAACUCUGAACCAGCCAAGUCGCGUGAAGGAUGACGGUCUAUGGAUUGUAAACUUCUUUAGUAGGCGAGUAAGUAGCCUAAGAAUAAGUAUCGGCUAACUCCGUGCCAGCAGCCGCGGUAAUAC
rnacentral:rRNA from 1 species